GGCCAGGGGCGGGAUCGAUAUGCCUGGCUCCCUGUAUGCCACUCGCAUGGCUGCCAACUCAUCAUGCAUACACUGCUAGCUAGUCGUUGGCUCCACUGCGGAUGGCGUGCGUGGAGCCAAGCAUGACCGAUCAUCUCCUCCU